UUUUUAGGGCUACACCUGCAGCAUAUGCAAGUUCUCAGGCUCGGGGUCAAAUUGGAGCUGUAGUGCCAGACUACGCCACAGCAACAGCAACUCGGGAUCCGAGCUGCAUCUGCGACCUACACCACAGCUUGCAGCAAUGCCAGUUCCUUAACCCACUGAGCAAGGCUGGGGAUCAAACCCACAUCCUCAUGGAUUCUAGUCGGGCUCAUAUCUUUUCAUUUCUUGACAAUGCCUUUGAUUAGCAGAAGUUUUAAAUUAUACUUCAGUUUAAUUGCUUAAUGUUUUUAUGGUUAGUGCUUUUUGUGCCUUGUCUAAAAUGUCACUGCUUAUCUUAAGGUCAUGAAGAAACGCCUAUGUUUUCUUAUUUUAGAAGUUUUACAGUUUAACUUCAAAUUUUGGUCAAUGAUGUAUCUCAAAUUAAUUUUUAUAUGUGAUGAUAAAAGAAAGGCCCCUUUCCCCCAGCCCCAAUUCUACCUCCAAGGGAACCAGAAUCAACUGUUCUAGUGCAAUUGUGGACACGCUAGGCCCUGUCUUAUGGAAGAAGAAAUACAUCCAGAAGCAUCACUGAAGCAUGUAUGACCCUCUUCAGGGGGGGUGGUCACCGACUCUCGGGUCUUAAUCUAUCAUCGCUUUCCUGAAUAUGCCAGAUCAUCCAGUGCACUCGAUUUUCAACCCCACAUAAUUCUUUAUGCGCUUCCUUAUUUCUGGAAGCGCCAAUCCUCUUUCUUUAUCUGCCAGUGUCUUAGCUCAAGUGCUGUGUAUCUCCCAACUCAAAUGGUUUUUCUUUCGUGAAGCCAGUACUGGCUUAUUUUUUUACAACCCUGACUUUUCAUAUGCAUCUUGCAAAUUAUUUAAAGUAGGAUUGUGUCUUUUUCACUUUAAAACCACCUAGAGGAACUAUUCUAGCGAGUCAUUCACAGUAAUACCUAAGAAAGGAUGCCCGAAUUGAAUUUUGUUUCGGCUUAAGGAUUCGGAAAGGUAUUUUGUUACUGGAACCUUCUCUUUACAUCCUCUCUUGUCUCAGAUAACAUGCUCCUUGAUAUUAAAUAAUCCAUAGCAGGCUGCAAGCAGUUAUCUAAGCAAAAGACAUUCUGGAAAAAGCUCCUUUUUAGUGAGCAAACCCGGACUCUUCAGAAUCCCAGCCCAACAGUUCAGUUUAGACACAGUUAAAGUUUUAUGCAAUAUUUACAUCAACUGUUGCAUUGUUGAUGAACAGUACUGGAAUUUUUGAUGCAAUAUCAGUUAAAAUAUAAAUUUUUCUAUAUACAGCAAAAGAAAAAAAUGCUGAGUUGUUUAAGAUAUAUGCUGUAGUUAGAAUAUAUCUUCAUUAAAGGGUUUGGUGCUGAUGUCCUGUAAUCUCAGGCUCUCACUUUGGCUUUACUUGUAAAAUCUUCCCAAUGAAGAAAUCCAACAUAAGCUAAGGUUUUAUGUUUCCUUAUUUUAUUGAGCAACUUUAUUUUCCAAGGUCAUCGCAUUAGCAAAGAACUUAAUUAGUUAAAGAAAUCUAGUCCUUGCAUCCUAAGGUCUUGGGGACAUGCAAUACAAAUUAACCGUGGUUCACUGAAGAAUGGAAAAGAAAUUCUUUGGAAGGGUACAAGGCCUCUCAUAGAAUCAAUGAGACUAUUAGAGGACCAGGCCUCAGAAAGGUUGGGAACAAAGUAUUGAGGGAAUGGGAACUGAUGGAGUGAUUAUCCGGGCAAAACCAUCCAUAAGAUGUAUCAGCUCUAACCCAUUUCUGCCUUUGUCUCACCCACCUGCAGAUUAAAUUCCCUGGACAGAAAGAGACAUGGGCCAGCUGGUGUAGAGCUCCUGCCUUGGCCUCGCAGAGGGAAGGGAAGGUCUCUGUGAUGGGCUGGGUGGUAAAGUAUGUUGAGAGGGCUUAUCCCUGCAAGAGGGUCUGGGCACCAGAAGAAUGGGGUGGGGAGGAGGUGAUGGGUAGUCAAAACCAGCGGGUGGAGAGUAUGGGCUUUUAUACCCCAGGACUUGCUCCAGCACAGCCCCCACGCUAAGUGAUUGCACACAAUCACAAUCAGAAACAGGUGUUUUCCUGAUCAUAAAGGGGAUUUUGAAACUCGUAAUCAAUAGUGACGUGCACUUUUGUUGGCACAUAUUUGACUGUAGCUUCCUUAGAUGAAUGGACUUAUCUCUGCUCAUCUAAGUUUCCCACAAAAUAAAAAUACCGCUGAACGCAAGCAGUGAUGUGUGCCUCCACCUUCACUCAGUGGAAAUGUAAACUAAUGUAAGGGACACAGCUGUCACAGUUCCUUAUCGUUAUAUACCUGUGUGUUCUCUUGCUUACAGGCUUGUGGGGUUCAUGAUUAUGAGAACAGGGCCACCGUGGAGCCUCCUUGGACUCCACUUGCAGCCCUGAGAAGGCAUUUAUUAAUGAUAGCAACAGUAAUCGUUACAAUGUAUUUAAUAGAGUUUACUAUGUACAAGAAACAUGCCUAAUUACUUAAUAUGUACCACAUAAUGGGCAAAGAAAUUGUUUAAGUCUUUCUUAGCUUCUAAAGAUAAUGCUAAGUUAAUGCUACAGGAUCAAGGAAGAUAAUAUGGGGACAGGGCAGGGGAUUGUGCUGGGGGUUUUCUGUUCCUCUCCCGUGGCGGCGGUGGACACUCUGAUGCAUUGCCCAUCCCCCUCUUUAGGAAGGACCGACUUAUUCCUAUGCUGCUCAGAGAAUUGCUGGCUGACAGCCCUCCGUUAUCAGGCUUCUCUGGGGAUGGAUAACAGCUAAUGAGAUCUGCUGUGCUUGCUGGCACCUUGCAUCCAAUGAUUAGACAGACAACGGCAGGUGCAAUGGCCUUCAUCCCAAACUGGGGCCCCCCUGCAGGACCAUCGCAGCUCCAGCAGAGUCCCCUGUGGGAUGGGCUGUGGUCUUUUUGAGACUACAGUACAGCCUAAUUUCUCCCUCUGUCCUUUUCCUUCCGUUCUUUCACAGGCGUAUCAGUUUAGAGGGUACCUCCUGCAUAUUCGUUUGCAUCUUUGAGUCAGCUUCUCAGGGAGCUUGACCUAUACAACCAUAAAGCCAGGACUCUAGUUAAUGGUUUUCAUGUUUUUCUUUUUAAGGCCACACCUGCAGCAUAUGGAAGUUCCUAGGCUAGGGGUUGAAUCUGAGCUGCAGCUACCAGCCUACACCACAGCCACAACCAUCGCAAUACCAGAUCCAAGCCUCAUCUGUGACCUACGCAUAUAGCUUGCAGCACCACUGGAUCCUUAACCCACUGAGCGAGGCCAGGGCUCAAACCCUCAUCCUCAUGGAUACUAGUUGGGUUCUUAACCUGCUGAGCCACAACAGGAAUCCCCAGUAUGGCUUUCGUAUCCAUGUGGUAGAGCUGUUUUUGACGGGUGGCAACUAUGGAACUUGGCACAGUCCCCCUACCACCAGCUUCUCUAGCAUCUUCUGGUCAAGCCAGGCUGUUUCUUAGCCCAGGACAAGGAAGGACACACAGCCAGCACUUAGACAUCACCUGGCUCCGGCCUCGGGAAAGAGCCCUUGCCGGGAUGUGUGGAUAUCCGGAUUCCACUUGGGAUCAGUCCCAGGUCCCUGCAAGACCACAGACCAUCCAACCAAAAACCCUGAAACUCUAGGGCGGGGCAUGAGGAAAGGCUCAGACUUUCUACUUGUAACUCAAGAAGAUUGAGGUAAAUCUCUGCAUUUUUAAACCUAACAAUUCUAUGAUUUGAUGAAAAUAAGAAUGCCUGUCCAUGUGCAACUCACCUGAGUCUCAGUUUUAAGCUGAAAAUGGGACAGCAGUCAGCUUUGAGGGCUGAGGCAGGUUUCUAAUAAUCGAGGUGGAUGUGCCUUGAAACCUGUGAUGGUUUCCUUUAUGUCAGCUUGACUCCGCCGUAGGGUAUCCAGAGGAAAAACCAUUUCUGGGUGUGUUGCAAGGGGGCUUCUCGGUGAGAGGACCAUUGCAUCUGUGGACUCAACAAAGGAGAUUUUGCUCUCCAAGUGGAGGGUUAUCGCCCCGUACACCGCAGGCCUGAAUGGAGCAAAAACGCAGAGGAAGGGAAAUUUACCCCUUUUCUGCCUUCCUGCCUGUUAGAGCUGUGACUUUUGUUUCCUCUGCCUUAGAUGGAGAUUUAUGCUCUCAGCCCCCACCCCCGACCCGGUCCUCUGACCUUGGGAUUCAUACUAAAUGAUACCACUGGCUUUCCUGGGUCUCUCCCUGCAGAUGGCGCGUGAUAGGCCUUCUUAUCCUCCAUAGUUGUGUCAGCCAGUGCCUUUGAAGAAAUUCUCUCUCUCUCUCGCCCCCCACUUCCUGCCUUCCAAUCUACGUAAAGAAAAAACAAAAACAAAAACCCACAGGGUCUUUGAACUAACCAGCCUCUUUGCUCUUAUCGCUGAAAGCCACCUUAACAUGGACUGUCCCCCCAUCUCAUAGACUCAUGUGUGUACAUGUGCAGUCUUAGUUUGGCCACUUUCCCACUCACUUUCACUCUUUAGUGUACAUCGAGGAUACUGGCAGAAAGGACAGGUGUAGGGACACUGGGGGCAUGUUAGACCAAAAGGUGGCUUAUGAUAUAUUCAUGACCUGGGCUCAGCCAUCACUUUGCAUCAACCAUAUCUCUUUUCUCAGUCCCAGCAAGACAACUGAAGAACUCGUCAUGCUGCAUAAAGUAGAUCCCCCACGCAAAGGAUAGAUGUCUCCCAAAGGCAACGUUCUCAAAGGAUCAAGGCUCCCCUCGGCGUCUCAGCUUUCUUUUUUAUAUUUUUAAGCAAAUAACAGUUCAUUUUUUUCAGAGCAUUCUUCCCAUCUGCUCCUAGACAAGGUGUCUAACUAAAUUACAUUCUGCAGUGAUGCUGACUGCAAGCUAAUAAAAGAAUAACCAGAUAACUAGUAAGCAGGUUUUUAAUCAGAAGACCGUAUUGAACUGGAGAUAGUAAAAGUCUGCAUAACUAGCUGCAGAUGCUAAAAAACUAUAAAGGUAUAGUCCGGGUCAGCGUGGCUUACCUCCCCAAUAUGUCAGCCUUUGUUUUGCACAUAGCUUUAUUAUUGAACUUAAUAAACUAUCGGUUUUAUUAUGUACAGUACAUAACUCCUAGAGUUUUACUGUGGUAACUGUAAUCCCAGCAGAAUCAAGAGAGACAAAAGAGAUCGUUUCAUGGGGGGAUACUUUGAAAUACAAAACUAAAGAGAAGUUUAUUGAAAA
rnacentral:lncRNA from 1 species